UAUCUUUGAUUCAAUUGCAGAGAAUACACAACGUCCAAUCUUUCUUUACUCAUUGGGUUCAUCUGGGCCUGCUCUUUCCUGUAGGCUAACUGGGACAGCACACACAUCUUUUCCUACAAUGCCCUACUGUGUUGCCCAAGCUGGAGUACAGUGGUGUGAUCACAGCUCACUGCAGCCUCAACCUCCAAAGAUCAAGCAAUUCUCCUGCCUCAGCCUCCCAGGCUGUACAGGAGGCAUGCUCUGCUCAGCUUCUGAGGAGGCAACAGAAAAUUGACAAUCAUGGAAGAGUGUGAAGGAAGUAGGCACAUCUGCAAGACCAGAGCAGGAGCAAGAGAGAAAAAGGCUCAUUUCCUAGAGGUUUUUGGUUGCUUAACCAAGGACAAAACCAGCAAGGCAUGACUGUGGCUUUUAUUGGAAAUGAAAUGAAGUGCAGAAGACACUGGCAGGACCUCUUACAAACACCUACCAUUUCAGAGAAGAAGAGCUGGGGAUGAGCAUGGGAUGGAUGGAAAAUAGGAUGACUCUAUUCAAUAUGUUUGAGCCUUAUGCUGAGCAUCAGAAGUUAAUGGAAGCUGCCCCACACAGAUUCUGCCAAUGAGACCCAAGUAUUUGCCUUAGUCUACUUGUGUACUAUAACAACAUGUGCUAAGCUGGGUAGCUUAUAAACAACAGAAAUUUAUUUCUUAUAAUCCUAGAGUCUGGAAUGUCGAGGAUCAGUGAGGCUCUGGUGAAUGCCCACUUCCUUCAUAUAUGGAUGUCUUCUCAUUCUGACCUCACAUGGUAAGGGACCAGCCUGCUCUCCAGGGUCUCUUAUAAGGGAACUGACCUCAAUCAUAACUUUCAAUGGCCUUAGCUCUUACUAUAAUCACCUUAGGGAUUAGGAUUUCAACAUAUGAAUGCUAGGUGGACACAAACAUUCAGACCAUAGCAGUAUUGGAGAACACUAUAGACAGAAUAACACAGCAUAAUUCAGAGUACUGUAAUUUAGUCAUUUAUGAGGCUUUGAGACUGUUAAUUGUCAUGACUCCCUUUGAGAAAAUUUGGCUGUAGGAAUCAAAAGCAUAAAAUACAUUUAUACUUACUGACUUGGCAAUAUAACUUAUCAAAAUUGAUCCUGAUGAAAAAUCUAUGUCAAAAUUAUAUCAAGGAUAUGUAUCAUCAUUUAUCAUAGUACACUGUAAGGCUACAUAAAUAUCUAACAAGAGAAGCCAGGCUAUGCAAAAUGAUACAUCCACACACUAGCAUAUGAAACAGCACUAAAUUUAGCUCUCAAAUAAUUUUUAGAUAUUUUGAAGAAUACCUCAUUUCAUAAUGUCAAAUGAUGCGGGAACCAGAUUUAUCUACAAGUUCAAAGUUGUAUAUAUGGGUGUGAAGAGAAUGAGAGAGAGGGAGAGGUGAGAAAAUACUUUAGAGUAUUAGUGAUCAUUUUUAUGUAGUAAAAGGAACUCAGGGUUUUCGUUAUUUUAAUUCUAAAAUAAAUUAUGUUGCAUUUUCCCCAAACUUCCUUUAUG